GGGCAAGACACUGAACCCCGAAUGGCUCCCGAUGCGUCAUCGGUGUGUGAGCGUGUAUCUGAUGAGCAUGUGGCAGCUUGUACGGCAGCCUCGGCCACACUGUGUGUGUGUGUGUGUGUGUUGAAUGGUUCCUGGACUAUGUUACAGAGCUUUGAGUAGUGGUUAAGACUAGAAAAGCGCUUUAU